AGAGUUUGAUCCUGGCUCAGAACAAACGCUGGCGGCAUGCUUAACACAUGCAAGUCGAACGAGAAAAUCUUCUUCGGAAGGUUAGUAAAGUGGCAGACGGGUGAGUAACACGUAAGAAUCUGCCCUCGGGACAGGGAUAACAUUCUGAAAGGAAUGCUAAUACCUGAUAAUGUUCACGAACCAAAGAGGGCUUCGGCCCUCACCUGGGGAGGAGCUUGCGUCCCAUUAGCUUGUUGGUAGGGUAAUGGCCUACCAAGGCUACGAUGGGUAGCCGGCCUGAGAGGGUGUACGGCCACACUGGAACUGAGACACGGUCCAGACUCCUACGGGAGGCAGCAGUGGGGAAUAUUGGUCAAUGGGCGAAAGCCUGAACCAGCAAUGCCGUGUGGGUGAUGAAGCUUUUCGGAGCGUAAAGCCCUUUUGAGAGGGAAGAAAUGCAGAAUGAGGAUAAUGCUUUCUGUUUGACGGUACCUCUCGAAUAAGCCCCGGCUAACUCCGUGCCAGCAGCCGCGGUAAUACGGAGGGGGCAAGCGUUGUUCGGAAUCACUGGUCGUAAAGGGCGCGUAGGCGGCUUUAUGAGUCAGAUGUGAAAUCCCUAGGCUCAACCUAGGAAUUGCGUUUGAUACCAUAUUGCUUGAGGCCGGGAGAGGGAAGCGGAAUUCCUGGUGUAGCGGUGAAAUGCGUAGAUAUCAGGAGGAACACCGGUGGCGAAGGCGGCUUCCUGGACCGGAUCUGACGCUAAUGCGCGAAAGCGUGGGUAGCAAACGGGAUUAGAUACCCCGGUAGUCCACGCUGUAAACGAUGAGCACUAGGUGCAGCGGGUAUCGACCCCUGCUGUGCCGUAGCUAACGCAAUAAGUGCUCCGCCUGGGGAGUACGGUCGCAAGACUGAAACUCAAAGGAAUUGACGGGGGCCCGCGCAAGCGGUGGAGUAUGUGGUUUAAUUCGAUGCAACGCGAAAAACCUUACCGGGGCUUGACAUGUUCUUGACCGGUAUUGAAAGAUACUUUCCCUUCGGGGCAGGAUCACAGGUGCUGCAUGGCUGUCGUCAGCUCGUGUCGUGAGAUGUUGGGUUAAGUCCCGCAACGAGCGCGACCCCUACCCUUAGUUGCCAUCAGUCUGCUGGGAACUCUAGGGGAACUGCCGGUGAUAAACCGGAGGAAGGUGGGGAUGACGUCAAGUCCUCAUGGCCCUUACGUCCCGGGCUACACACGUACUACAAUGGUCGGUACAAAGAGUCGCAAAGCCGUGAGGUAGAGCUAAUCUCAAAAAAACCGGCCUCAACUCGGAUUGGAGUCUGCAACUCGACUCCAUGAAGUUGGAAUCGCUAGUAAUCGCGGAUCAGCAUGCCGCGGUGAAUACGUUCCCGGGCCUUGUACACACCGCCCGUCACACCACGAAAGUUGGUUGCACUAGAAGUCGUCGGGCUAACCCGCAAGGGAAGCAGGCGCCUAAGGUGUGAUCAAUGAUUGGGGUGAAGCCGUAACAAGGUA
rnacentral:rRNA from 1 species